rnacentral:lncRNA from 1 species
UCAGGAGCGCAACAUCUCAUAGAGUGCGCUUCAACCACUGAUCAACCCUUCCCUUUAUCUCCAAUGCCUUCUGGUCACCGGUCUCCUCUAGACUUAGGUGAUGACCACUCGCCUUGUGUAUCCACAUACACCCCAGCGACCAUUCCCAAUGGGUAAAGUCUUCCUCUUCUACUCGGAUUGAUGAUGGACAGAGAGCACAUCAUGUGAACCUGAAACAUCACUCAAACUCCAGCAAAGAUAAGACACAAGCAUUGGGAUCAAUCCUUGACUAAUAUCAAGUUUGAUCUCCAAUGUCACAAGCUAUGCAACAGAUUGAAACAAGCAUUAUCAAGUUCACAUCUUUGCAAGCAAUCUCUCUAAGUACAAGCAAGAUCAAAUAAGAUUCAAGACAAGCUACUUAGGCAUUUUAACUUCUGCCUUAACUACACCUUAGACUUGAAUCUAAGUGUAUCAACCUAAGGCAGCAACAAGAUGACAGUAUGCUAUAUAACCUUAAACAGUUUCUAAUUCAUGAGUGCAACAUGAUCAGACAAUACAAUCUAUCACACACUCAUUUAGAACUGUGGCUAAGCAGUAUUAUCAUCAAUCAACAUCAGACAAUGCAAAACCUUAAGUUAUUUCAGUUUAAUGAAAGCUAAUAGGAUUUAGACAGUUUCUAACAUCCUAGCUCAAUCAUAACCAAAUUGGGCAAGCAUUUCAUUUCUCAACAUCAAACAAGACUCAAUAGCAUCCUGGGACUAAACAAGACAAUAUUAUCAAGCAUUUUCAGUCAUUAACCCACGGAUGCAACAUAAAGAACACAACACAACAGCCAGUUUCAAUCACAAGCUCAUAUCAAGAAGGUUUAGGAUUAGCUUACAACCAAGGAACCUGAGCUGGUUCCUUGAGCCUCCUUGGUAACAGGCCACGAAUCUAGUGGAUAAGAGAGCUGGAUCGUCACCCAACACCUUCUCCUUAUGUUCAUAACCUCCUCCUUGACACCACAACACAAAAGGUUCCACCUUUCUUCACAGCUCCAAGUCUCCAACUUCAGGAACAAGAUGAAAGCUUUCUUCUUGAAGGGUUUCAGCUUGGCACAGAGUUGAGACACGCCUUUAAUGGACUGGAGAGAGGAGGAACGACCAGGAGACACCACCAUAGCUUCAAACACCUUCUUUUUGAAGAGAGAGAACAGGCUGGACAUCUUCAAUGGUUUGGAUCUGUGAUGAGGCUAGACUUGUGAUGUAUAUGCGGAAGCUGGAACCAAGUUCUGAUAGAGAAAGACUCAAAACUUGCUUGAUUAAUUAAUGAGAGAGUGUUUACAUAUUUAUAGGGAGAGAGCUUAGUGUUAGGUUUUCAGAGCUCAGGCUGUGUGUGUGAGAAGAAGCCACUAAGGGCGAAAUGAGAGCUUGAACUGAAGAGAGAAAGGUCUGAUGAAGAACAGUAUGAACUUGGACAGAAACAAGAGAUUUAGAAAGAUUAAGAGAUUUAAGUAUAAGAAAGGGGUAGUUUGAGGGAUUCUUAUCCAAGAACACACUUUGUAUUAUGAAGGAGGAGGGGAAAUCCCCCUCUCUCUCUUAAGAGACACAAAAACGUCCAUACAUAGCUUAUUUAUAAGCUUUACACAUUGCAAACUCAUAAACCCUUAAUCUAAUGGAUAGAAAUGACUGAAUUGAAAUGGAUGGCUAGGAUGGAGUCUGGUGGGUUGCUGAGGACGUGAUGGAUGCUGAUUGGUUGAUUCAAACUGGUCAAAGCAAGGGCUGGCUCCUGAUUGGUUCCCUUAAGGCUCCCAUGAACCUUGUUCACAAAGAUGGCUAGAUACAUGGUCAAGGCUGCUUUUCCUUUACAGCUCAAAGACAGCCUGUCAUUGACCACGCCCUAGCUCUCCCUUAUCCACAAACAGUCACAAGAUAACUCAGGUUUGUCUUCUCUUGCGCCCUAAGUUUGCACAGCUUCAUUUCAGGUUGAUCCGGAACAAGUACGGUCGAUGGUACGGACCGUCUGUCCGUACCUCUCCCUAUUUUUGCACCAACUCCCAAUCUUCUCAAAUGGUUGAGUCUGAACAUGAUCUUGGUCGCCCUAAGUUCGUACGGUCCGUACCGUCCGUACCGAUGCUCGACCCUAUUUCUGCACCAUCACCCAACUGACUCCAAAUGGUGUCUAAGUAUGUCUAAGUCCCUCCUGGACUUGACCCUAACUUUGCACACCUCAUUUGGAUACUUCUGGACACUCCUGAACACUCCUAAAGCCUUGAUAGACAAUCUCCAGAGGUCUUGCCCCAUUCUCGCUCAAGACCCAAACUCAACCCAACUCCUCCUUUGGCUCCAUUUCUUUCUUCAAGUCAACACUCCCCCUCAAGCUUGACUCUAGGUGAUCCUAAGCCAAGCUUGGAACCUUGAAGAACUCCCUCAUUAAAAACCUCACCAAGGAAAACCCUUUGGGACAAAACCUUGAGGAGGGAAAAAGAGUAAAGCCUUCAAGGCCUAGGGAUUGGCCAGUGAGCCUAUGUGCCUUAGUAUCAAUUGGGACAAAACCUUGAGGAGGGAAAAAGAGUAGAGCCUUCAAGGCCUAGGGAUUGGCCAGUGAGCCUAUGUGCCUUAGUAUCACUGAGGUUUAGGCACAUAGGCUCUGGAUCACGGCCUCUUCACUUCACCACACCUUCUUAAACUCUUCUAUAGAACCGGCUUAGUGUCUCCCCCCUUUCACCUGACUUCAUGCCAUCUUGAAAGGCUAGGAACGACCUGAUCCUCUCCAUUGAGUCUCCAAGUAAGGUACCUGAUACAUCAUUCCACAAGUGUAUCAGUUCUCAAGAGAUAAACCUAUCAUGAAUGUAUAUAAAGAGAUUGAUCAGGUUUACUCCCUUGUUUAAAUGUUGAGGAGUGGCUGCUCUUCACACACCACUUGAAUCCCUCACUUGCUGAGCUUAACAGCUCCUUCUCUUAUCAUGCAAGCUCAUCCACACUCCCCCUCAAGCUUGAGACCGAGUAGAGGAAAGGUCCAAGCUUGAUGGUGAGCGCAUGUUAGCUCCAUGAUAAGCCUUGUGGAGAGCACCUCCAUCUCUUUCAGACUUGAUGCUUGAAUCCUCCACUACAUCACCAUUGCACUGAGGAGAUACCUCAGCCCACUCUCCAAGCAUCUCACACUAGCUUGUUGAGUGACUUUCUUCUUCCCUCCACUUCGGCUGGAUCACUCCAUGAUCAGCUUGCAAUGGCCUUGAGUAACACAGGUCAUUGAGCAACAGGAUCAUCAGGUGGCUCACUUUGCUCCCCUCCUCAAGCUUGGAUUGAGUAUGGGUCCAAGCUUGAAGUGAGCCUCAAUGAGCCUUAAGAUCAGGAGCGCAACAUCUCAUAGAGUGCGCUUCAACCACUGAUCAACCCUUCCCUUUAUCUCCAAUGCCUUCUGGUCACCGGUCUCCUCUAGACUUAGGUGAUGACCACUCGCCUUGUGUAUCCACAUACACCCCAGCGACCAUUCCCAAUGGGUAAAGUCUUCCUCUUCUACUCGGAUUGAUGAUGGACAGAGAGCACAUCAUGUGAACCUGAAACAUCACUCAAACUCCAGCAAAGAUAAGACACAAGCAUUGGGAUCAAUCCUUGACUAAUAUCAAGUUUGAUCUCCAAUGUCACAAGCUAUGCAACAGAUUGAAACAAGCAUUAUCAAGUUCACAUCUUUGCAAGCAAUCUCUCUAAGUACAAGCAAGAUCAAAUAAGAUUCAAGACAAGCUACUUAGGCAUUUUAACUUCUGCCUUAAC